rnacentral:lncRNA from 1 species
AACAAAAGGCUCCUCACGCCACACCGCUUCGCAUUCACAAUCGGUUUCUUCACACAUGCCACAACGAUUCUUCUCUUCCCACAAAGAUUCGUUACUCAACCCUCUGUACCUUCUUUGUUCUAUUUAUGUUUUUACGGGAAAGGAAAAAUCCCCUUUAUCUACUAACCUCUACACAUUUUUCCCUCGCCACAUUUUUUGUCACCAAAUGCUACCUUCACGCCAACGAUGUCUAUGGGGAAAAAACUAUUUCUCGCCAACGGUUUGUAAUACUUUCAAAGUUAAUCUGUAUAAUUUAUGCCCUUUUCUUACAUAUUUGCAUCUUCUAAAAUUAUUUACGUCCUAAUCUUAUUGUAUAGGUGUGGACAACCAAGGAUUGGGCUGCCAAAAAUGUCGUAAAGAGAUUGAGGUACAGUCCAAAGCUUCUCUUCAAUAUUAUGCUUUUCCACAAUUCGUAACUAAUGGUGUGAAUAUUCUAGUCUAAUGUUUCUUCCAAAUCAUUACUAAGGAUGUAAACGUUAUGUUAAGAUUCUAACACACUUUAUAUGUUAUCCUUAAAUGUUAUUUAUAUAUAGUUUAGUGUUAUGCAAUUUAGAUUGUACUAGAUUUGUAUUGUACCAUUAGAUUUUAGUAUUGCAUAGUAGUUCAAUUCCCUGUUACUUUAGUUCUUUUCCUCUAAGACUCACACAUUCAACAAUAAUAAGUUUAAAUGUUAUUUAUAUGUAGUUUAGUAAUAUGAAGUUUUAGCAUGUCUUAGAUUUUAAUCGUACACUCAAAUAUUGGUAUUGGAUAGUAGUUCAACUUUCUCCUUCUCUACACUUUUAUGCUUUGCUUGUAGCAACAUAUGCAUUAAACAUAGCUAUAAUAUUGUAAUGAUCAGAAAACUACUUUUUCCAGCAAAAUUGUAAUGCCUUCUUAAUUUUCAUUUGAUUAUAUGUAAAUUUUUGCUAUAUUCAUAUAAUUAUUUAUGUCCUGCUCUACUCUUUUGUGUUUUGCUUGAAGAGCGACAUAUGUAUUUAUCACAACAAUCGAAGUCUAAGAAUCAAAAAAAGAAAUUACCCCAAUAAUAGUGUCAAUAUCAGGAUAUUUAUUUUUAAUUUUCUCACAUCUUGCCUUUUUGGCCAUAUCUAAGUGCUCAGUCUCUUCCUUCAAAAGACACCCCUCUUACUCUUCAUCAGAAGUUGAACCACACGUUGUGUCCUCUUUCCAAUUCCUGUCUUUUCCCCUCAUUUUUUGUUUGCUGAAUUAUGAUGUGUUUCUACUUUUAUUUGGUGUUUGACAUUAAAUAAAGCACAAAUAUAAUUUAUAUUUUGCUCGGUUCUUAUAGGGUUCAAGUUAAAAUAUAAACUGAUUAGUGUAGUUUUCCAUGUGCUUAGACGUUCAUAUUACAACUUAUCUUUUAUCAUAUUCCCACAAUGGAUUAAAAAAUUAUACAUCAUGCGCAUCAAAUUUCUACGAAUAACUGAGAACUCUGUGAUGAUGACUUCAUACUAUACAAUUACUACAAUGAGUUUUGUUGUGGGUUACACUCUAAGUUACAGAUUAGUUUUAUUGGUAUACUAAAUUAUCUUUAUUCAUGCAAGUUGUAAUGCAACGGAUAAAAAUAUUAUCAUGGUACUAUUUCUUUACGAGGUAGUCUAUGCUUGCAUUCAGAAAAUAAUGACCUUAUUCAAUGGAUAAAACUUAAAAGUGCUACAAACUGUGUAAUCACCGAGAAACAAUUAUAUUGCAGAUCACUUACAAGCAAUUCUGCAUUUUCAUCUUUCCUUCUAACAUUUUGUUUGCUGCAUUAUGAUGUGUUUCUAUCUUUAUUGGGUGUUUGACAUUUAAAUAAAGCAUAAAUGGUAGUUUAUAUGAUGAUCGGUUCUUAUAGAGAUCAAGCUAAAUAUAAACUGAUUAAUAUAAUUUUUCAUGUGAUUAUAUGUUCAUAUUACAACUUAUCUGAUAUCUUACAGGAUUCCUAAUAUAUCUUGCACAUCAAAUUUCUGUGAAUAAUUGUCAAGGUAAAUUUUUAUGCUACUUUUAACUUUUUUUUUAGUUUUCCCCAAUUAACAUUGCAUUUAUCACUGUAACUGGUACAAUUAAAGAACUUGGAAUCUCCAUAGAUUUUAUGUUACAGAUUGAAUAUUUGAAAAAUAAAAAGCACAACUAAGAGCCAAAAUAUUUUGAAGGAGUUUUACUCGAUAAUUAAUUCAAAGAUUGACUUCAAAUAUAUUUGCUUACGUAAAGAUAGUAUAUACGCUAUUACAUUUAUGACUUUUUAAUUACAAUGUUGCAGAUAAAUAGUUUAUAAUGCCAUCUUCCAAACUCAUCAUUAGGCCAUCAUCUCCCGGAAUAAAUUUAUUCCACCUACAAUAUAUGUCUUCAAGUGACACGACCCGGAUUUUUCACCCUCGGGAGUCAUAAUGGCGCCGACUAGUGGAAGCUAGGCAAGCCUACCGUUUGAACAAUUUAUUUUUUUCCAUUUUUUAAUCCUUAAUCAAUUAGGAACCAACAGUUUAUAACAGCGAAAUUUAAACUAGCGAAAGAAACAAAUAAAAUCAUUUAAAUAUUUCCAUUACAAUUUCUUAAACAAAUACUACCCAGAACUAGUGCCAUAACUUCACAAACGGUCUAGGAAUACAAAAAAUAAGGUCUGAAAAAAUAAAUACAACACUGUUUUUGAAAUAAGUAAAUAAAACAGGAUGACUUGGAUCUUUGAAUGGACUGAAGGCAGCAACCCCAAGCUAAGGUCCAACAGUUGCUGCACUGGGAUCUGCACACAGUGCAGAGUGUAGUAUCAGCACAACCGACCCCAUGUGCUUUUAAGUGCCUACCCUAACCUCGGCGAAGUAGUGAUGAGGCUAGGACCAGACUACCAAAUAAAUCUGUGCAGAUAAUUCAUAUACAGUAAAAAAAUAAAAGCAGGAGCGUACAGUUAAGAAUGGGAGGGGAAAACAUGUUGCGCGAAAUAUCAAAUAAUAAUAGAAGGACAUCAGGUAAUUACAAGGAACACCAUAACUCAAUUAUCAACAAGAAUCAAAAAUCAAACAAGUGCACGACAUCACCCUUCGUGCUUUUACUCUCGUCCUCACCAUAAGAAUCAAUAUAAUCAGCACGGCAUCACCCUUCGUGCUUUUACUCUCGUCCUCACCAUAAAAUCAAUAUAAUCGGCACAGAAUUGCACAUUGUGCGGCACGGCAUCACCCUUCGUGCUCUUAGACUAUUCAUUACAAAAUCAUAUAUGGCAUCACCAUUCGUGCUUUAACACUCUCUUACCAAAACAAUGCACGGCAUCACCCUUCGUGCUUUAACACUCUUCCACACUAAAUCAACAAUCACAAGAAAUAAGGGCAAGGAAAUAAAUGAAAUCAUAAUAAAAUCCCGGCAAGAGAACAAUAGUACAACAAUCAUAUCCCGACAAGGGAACAAUAUCAAGAACAUCAACAUCCCGGCAAGGCAGAUAGCAUUAAAAGCAACAACAUCCCGGCAAGGGAGAUAAUAUAAUAAUCCUUUUCUCUUUAUCACAUUUACUUUACAACUCACUACACAACUUGAGCCAAUGCUCUAUAAGGUUCAAUUACAAAUUUUACUUCCACAAUUCGUUUUACAACUUGAGCCAACACUCCUCAAUAUUCACUUACCAAUACUACUUCCACAAGCUUUGCUCAACAAUAGAAAUCAUCACAAAAGGCAUAAACAAUUUAAAUAGAGUCAUAAUAAUCAUUAUAUAAGACUCACGGGCAUGCUUGACACUACCAUAUAUAUACUCAUCACCAUACAUCGUACUCAACAAAUAACACAUAGCAAAUAGGACACAACUCUUAAUCCCUCAAGCUAAGGUUAGACCAAACCCUUACCUCGAUGCCACGAACACAAUUCAAGUCUCAACUAUCGCUUUACCUCUUGAUUCCACCACCAAUUCACUCGUAUCUAGCCAUAAGUUACUUAACUAUAUCAAUAAAUGCUAAAUGAACCAAUUCCAAUGCAUGAAAAUAGGUUUUCUAAAGUUUUUCCCAAAAAGUCAAAAAUCGCCCCCGAACCCACAUGGUCAAAACCCGAGGUUCAAACCAAAACCCGAUUAUCCAUUCUCUCACGAACUCAAAUAUAUAAUUUGUUUUGAAAUCGAACCUCAUAUCGAGGUCCAAAUCUCCAAAAUUUGAAAAACCUAGGUUCUGCCCAAAACACCCAAUUCCCCCAUGAAAACCUUUGAUUUUAAGAUGAAAUCGUGAGAAAAGAUGCUAAAGAUUAAUAAAAACAAGUUAGAAACUACUUACAAUCGAUUUGGAAGAGUACUUGUCUUUGAAAAAUCGCCCAAAAGAGUUUAUGUUUUGAAAGAGCUUGAAAUAUGAAAGAUUUUUGGCUAAGUCAUGAAUUUGCAUGUCGCAGAUGUCGCAAUUGCGACCAGGGUUCGCAAUUGCGAACCCUUCAGGACCUGUUACACUCGCAUUUGCGACCACUGUUCGCAAUUGCGAACUCGCAUUUGCGACUAAGGGGGAUUUCUGGGCCUCUUCGCAUUUGCGAAGAAAUGAUCGUAUUUGCGAUCAGCCCUGCCCAGGCCUUCUCUCGCAUUUGCAAUAGGUUAUUCGCAUUUGCGAUCUCAUAUUUACGAGCCAGGAUUUGCAAAUGCAAAGCCUACAGACCUGCAACAUACCGACUAAAAACCUGCAACUUCCUAAGUUUAAAUUUCACUCCGAGGCCUAUCCAAAACUCACCCGAGCACUCGGGGCUCCAAACCAAACAUGUACACUAACCCAAAACAUCAUACGAGCUUUCUAGCACAAUUAAACCAUGAAAAUAACAUGUAAAACUAUGAAUUAAACCUCAAAAUUCAUCAUUUUCAUCAAGAACACUUAAAGCUCAUAAUUCUUCAACCGGAGGUCCAAAUCACGUCAAAUAAACUCCAUUUUUCAUCAAAUUUCACAGUUAUCAUUUAAAUACUUUAAAAAGUUUGUACUAGGCUCCGAAACCAAAAUACGAGCCCGACACCAAUGGUUUCAAACAUUAAUUCUUUUCUUUAUUUCAUAAAUAAUUCAGCAAAAUAAUUUCUUUGAAAAAUUGAUUUCUAAGGCUUGGGAUCUCGGAAUUCAUUUCCGGGCAUACGCCCAAGUCUCAUAUUUUAUUACGAACCUCCCGAGAUUUCGGAACAUGGGUCUGGGGCUGUUUGCUCAAAAUAUUGACCAAAGUCAACCAUAAUCAAAUUUUAACUCUAAAAAUUUCUAUUUCUCAUAUUUUCAUAUAAAAGCUUUCCGGAUAUACGUCCGGAUCACGCACGCAAAUCGAGGUGAGGUAAAAAAGAGGUUUUAAGGCCUCAUAAUACAAAAUUUAUUUCUAAAACAAGUGAUGACAACUUUCGGAUCAUCACAUCAAGGUUUAACUGAGAAGAUUUUCAGACUAUCGUAAGUGCAAAUUGGAUAUCCUUCUCUAAGGCAAAUAUUUGAAGAUAGUAUAUACGUUAUUGAAUUUAUGACUUUUGAGUUAUAUUGUUGCAGAUAGAUACUUUAUAAUACCAUCAUCCAGACUCAUCAUUAGGCCAUCAUCUCCCGGAA